rnacentral:tRNA from 1 species
GGACCGGUAGUGUAAUGGAUAGCAUGUCGCGUUUGGAUGUGAAGAGGAGUGGUUCAAUUCCCUCCCGAGCCA